rnacentral:rRNA from 1 species
UACGUAGGGACCGAGCGUUGUCCGGAAUCAUUUGGCGUAAAGAGCGUGUAGGCGGCUAUUUAAGUCCUGCGUGAAAUCCUGCGGCUCAACCGCAGACGGUCGUGGGAAACUGGAUGGCUAGAGUGCGGGAGAGGAGAGUGGAAUUCCCGGUGUAGCGGUGAAAUGCGCAGAUAUCGGGAAGAACACCCGUGGCGAAGGCGGCUCUCUGGAACGCAACUGACGCUGAGACGCGAAAGCGUGGGGAGCAAACAGG